CCUACGGGAGGCAGCAGUGGGGAAUCUUGCACAAUGGAGGAAACUCUGAUGCAGCGAUGCCGCGUGAGUGAAGAAGGCCUUUGGGUUGUAAAGCUCUUUUGUAGGGGAAGAUAAUGACUGUACCCUAAGAAUAAGGUCCGGCUAACUUCGUGCCAGCAGCCGCGGUAAUACGAAGGGACCUAGCGUAGUUCGGAAUUACUGGGCGUAAAGCGCGCGUAGGCCGUUGAGUUAGUUAAUUGUGAAAUCCCAAAGCUUAACUUUGGAACUGCAAUUAAAACUGCUCGACUAGAGUUUGAUAGAGGAAAGCGGAAUACAUAGUGUAGAGGUGAAAUUCGUAGAUAUUAUGUAGAACACCAGUUGCGAAGGCGGCUUUCUGGAUCAACACUGACGCUGAGGCGCGAAAGUAUGGGUAGCAAAGAGGAUUAGAUACCCUCGUAGUCCAUACCAUAAACGAUGAUUGCUAGAUGUUGGAAAUUUUAUUUUCAGUAUCGCAGCUAACGCAUUAAGCAAUCCGCCUGGGGAGUACGACCGCAAGGUUAAAACUCAAAAUGAAUUGACGG
rnacentral:rRNA from 1 species